rnacentral:tRNA from 1 species
GCAGUGUAGCGUAAUGGGCAAGGAGUUGGUCUUGUAAACGAAAGGUCGCAGGUUCAAUUCCCGGGGAAGGACACUGCG